AUUGAACGCUGGCGGCAGGCCUAACACAUGCAAGUCGAACGGUAACAGGAAGAAGCUUGCUUCUUUGCUGACGAGUGGCGGACGGGUGAGUAAUGUCUGGGAAACUGCCUGAUGGAGGGGGAUAACUACUGGAAACGGUAGCUAAUACCGCAUAACGUCGCAAGACCAAAAAGGGGGACCUUCGGGCCUCUUGCCAUUGGAUGUGCCCAGAUGGGAUUAGCUAGUAGGUGGGGUAACGGCUCACCUAGGCGACGAUCCCUAGCUGGUCUGAGAGGAUGACCAGCCACACUGGAACUGAGACACGGUCCAGACUCCUACGGGAGGCAGCAGUGGGGAAUAUUGCACAAUGGGCGCAAGCCUGAUGCAGCCAUGCCGCGUGUAUGAAGAAGGCCUUCGGGUUGUAAAGUACUUUCAGCGGGGAGGAAGGGAGUAAAGUUAAUACCUUUGCUCAUUGACGUUACCCGCAGAAGAAGCACCGGCUAACUCCGUG
rnacentral:rRNA from 1 species